AGAGUUUGAUCAUGGCUCAGGAUGAACGCUGGCGGCGUGCCUAAUACAUGCAAGUCGAACGGGGAGUAUUAAUUUCGAUUUUUACUCCUAGUGGCGAACGGGUGAGUAACGCGUUGGUGACCUGCCCCGAAGCGGGGGAUAACAGUUCGAAAGGACUGCUAAUACCCCAUGUGGUCGUACAGGUUAGAGACUGAACGACUAAAGGAGCAAUCCACUUCGGGAGGGGCCUGCGUCCCAUCAGCUAGUUGGUAAGGUAACGGCCUACCAAGGCGAUGACGGGUAGGGGACCUGAGAGGGUGGUCCCCCACACUGGCACUGAAACACGGGCCAGACACCUACGGGUGGCAGCAGUAGGGAAUAUUGCACAAUGGGCGAAAGCCUGAUGCAGCAACGCCGCGUGCGCGAAGAAGGCCUUCGGGUUGUAAAGCGCUUUUCUGGAGGAAGAGAAAGGACGGUACUCCAGGAAUAAGGAUCGGCUAACUACGUGCCAGCAGCCGCGGUAACACGUAGGAUCCGAGCGUUAUCCGAAUUUACUGGGCGUAAAGCGCGUGUAGGCGGCCGGGUAAGUUGGACGUGAAAGCUCCUGGCUCAACCAGGAGAGGUCGUCAAAACUGCCUGGCUAGAGGGCGACAGAGGGAGGUGGAAUUCCCGGUGUAGUGGUGAAAUGCGUAGAUAUCGGGAGGAACACCAGUGGCGAAGGCGGCCUCCUGGGUCGCUCCUGACGCUCAGACGCGAAAGCUAGGGGAGCAAACGGGAUUAGAUACCCCGGUAGUCCUAGCUGUAAACGAUGUGGACUUGGCGUUGGUGGUGUCAAAGCCAUCAGUGCCGUAGCUAACGCGAUAAGUCCACCGCCUGGGGACUACGGCCGCAAGGUUAAAACUCAAAGGAAUUGACGGG
rnacentral:rRNA from 1 species